AGCCAUAACAAAGUCUCAGGGCUGUACAUUGAAAAAUCUGAUUUCCUAAGUAUUUGGAGAAGAAUUUCAUACAAAAGCCCAUUAAGCAGAAGUUUGCAUCAUAAUAAAACUUUGCUUAGUUAUGAGACUGCAAAGAGAAGCCAAAAUGAAGAACAUCUGCUUGAAUGCAGCCAAACACACACUGCAGCAAACCCAGAAGCACAGGCUGAAGUGCAAAUGCAACGUCCCACAUGAAAAAUUAUCACAGUUAAGUGAUAAUAGUAGAAAUAGUAGAAACAGCUUUAGUCUGGAAACAGACCAACCAACCAUUGAAACUUUUCACAUGUCACUGUGUGUUGUUUAAG